GUAGACUUAGGUUAAUUAAACUUUUUGUCUUCAAAACAAAAAAUAUCUUUGUGGGGGGUAGUUUAUG